UACGUAGGUGGCAAGCGUUGUCCGGAUUUACUGGGCGUAAAGAGCGCGCAGGCGGUCGGAUAAGUCGAAUGUGAAAGCCCCCGGCUUAACUGGGGAGGGUCAUUCGAUACUGUUCGACUGGAAGGCAGGAGAGGGAAGCGGAAUUCCCGGUGUAGUGGUGAAAUGCGUAGAUAUCGGGAGGAACACCAGUGGCGAAGGCGGCUUCCUGGCCUGUUCUUGACGCUGAGGCGCGAAAACUAGGGGAGCAAACGGG
rnacentral:rRNA from 1 species